UCUGCCCUGAUUCACCCUGGAAGCCUCAUCCCCUCCGCUUGGACAAACAUCUGGCUCCGUUUCCAAGCAGAAGCACUUCUGAGCUGACCAGUCCGACUAGCUCGCUCCCCGGAAGUCAUCAGGCCCCCAAGGGAAGUGGAUGGGAGCCUACCAGGCCAGAAUGCCUUGGCUGAGGCAGCGCCUUCAGCGGAUCCACAGUGAAGCCCAGUACUCAUCAGGAACGCACACAGGUAACAGAGAUGUGUGACCUAACACGUUUUCACAAGGGAGUCUACAGUGUGGGAGGCACUGAGAUCAGCAUGCACAGUUCCAGAUUCCAGCAGCUUCCUGUGUGUCCCUUGUAAGUCAUUGUUUUCAUCAAGGAUAGCUCUUAUCUUCUGCCGCUAUUGCUCCUGGUGGCCUCAGUCUACUCAAGGAUUUGAUCAUUCAUGAUAGGACUCUCACUAAGCUUGGAGUUCACAACCGAGUCAGGCUGACCAGCCAGCGAACUCCAGGGAUAUGACUGUUUCUGCCUAGAGCACAGUCACAGGCAAACUUUACAGGACCUCAGUUUGUAUACAGGUACUGAGAACUGAAACUCAGGUCUUCCUUUUGGCAUGGCAGCUUCUCACCAACUGAACCAGCCCUCUAGAUCUCUGUGUGAGUUC